UAGAAUCAUCAGGGUGUUGGAAGUCCCUGUUGCUGCAUUAGAGAGGGUGCUUAGGCAAAUCCGGGCGCAUGACUCAAGGGUGUGGCACGAGCGAACAUGUUUCGCGAAGUGAUUGGAAGUGGUUCCAAGAAAAGCCUCUAAGCUUCAGCUGUACGAGACCGUACCGCAGACCGACACAGGUGGACGGGAUGAAUAUUCCAAGGCGCUUGAGAGAACUCGGGAGAAGGAACUCGGCAAAUUGAUACCGUAACUUCGGGAGAAGGUAUGCCCCGGUAGUGUGAGGCGCCUGCGCGCUGAGCAUGAUGGGGUCGCAGAGAAUCGGUGGCUGCGACUGUUUAUUAAAAACACAGCACUCUGCAAAGACGAAAGUCGACGUAUAGGGUGUGACGCCUGCCCGGUGCCGGAAGGUUAAGUGAUGGGGUGCAAGCUCUUGAUCGAAGCCCCGGUAAACGGCGGCCGUAACUAUAACGGUCCUAAGGUAGCGAAAUUCCUUGUCGGGUAAGUUCCGACCUGCACGAAUGGCGUAACGAUGGCCACACUGUCUCCUCCCGAGACUCAGCGAAGUUGAAGUGUUUGUGAUGAUGCAAUCUACCCGCGGCUAGACGGAAAGACCCCAUGAACCUUUACUGUAGCUUUGCAUUGGACUGUGAACCGGCCUGUGUAGGAUAGGUGGGAGGCGCUGAAACCGAGUCGCCAGAUUCGGUGGAGCCAACCUUGAAAUACCACCCUGGUUUGUUUGCGGUUCUAACCUUGGUCCGUUAUCCGGAUUGGGGGCAGUGCAUGGUGGGCAGUUUGACUGGGGCGGUCUCCUCCCAAAGCGUAACGGAGGAGUUCGAAGGUACGCUAGGUACAGUCGGAAAUCGUGCUGAUAGUGCAAUGGCAUAAGCGUGCUUGACUGUGAGACUGACAAGUCGAACAGGUGCGAAAGCAGGACAUAGUGAUCCGGUGGUUCUGAAUGGAAGGGCCAUCGCUCAACGGAUAAAAGGUACUCUGGGGAUAACAGGCUGAUACCGCCCAAGAGUUCAUAUCGACGGCGGUGUUUGGCACCUCGAUGUCGGCUCAUCUCAUCCUGGGGCUGUAGCCGGUCCCAAGGGUAUGGCUGUUCGCCAUUUAAAGAGGUACGUGAGCUGGGUUUAAAACGUCGUGAGACAGUUUGGUCCCUAUCUGCCGUGGGCGUUGGAUACUUGACGGAGCCUGCUCCUAGUACGAGAGGACCGGAGUGGACGUACCUCUGGUGUACCGGUUGUCAUGCCAAUGGCAUUGCCGGGUAGCUAUGUACGGAAGAGAUAACCGCUGAAGGCAUCUAAGCGGGAAACUCGUCUGAAGAUUAGGUAUCCCGGGGCCUCGAGCCCCCUGAAGGGUCGUUCAAGACCAGGACGUUGAUAGGUCAGGUGUGGAAGCGCAGUAAUGCGUUAAGCUAACUGAUACUAAUUGCCCGUGCGGCUUGAUCCG
rnacentral:rRNA from 1 species